rnacentral:rRNA from 1 species
GACGGACGCUGGCGGCGUGCUUAACACAUGCAAGUCGAACGGAAAGGCCCUGCUUUUGUGGGGUGCUCGAGUGGCGAACGGGUGAGUAACACGUGAGUAACCUGCCCUUGACUUUGGUAUAACUUCAGGAAACUGAGGCUAAUACCGGAUAGGAGCUCCUGCUGCAUGGUGGGGGUUGGAAAGUUUCGGCGGUUGGGGAUGGACUCGCGGCUUAUCAGCUUGUUGGUGGGGUAGUGGCUUACCAAGGCUUUGACGGGUAGCCGGCCUGAGAGGGUGACCGGCCACAUUGGGACUGAGAUACGGCCCAGACUCCUACGGGAGGCAGCAGUGGGGAAUAUUGCACAAUGGGCGGAAGCCUGAUGCAGCAACGCCGCGUGCGGGAUGACGGCCUUCGGGUUGUAAACCGCUUUCGCCUGUGACGAAGCGUGAGUGACGGUAAUGGGUAAAGAAGCACCGGCUAACUACGUG